rnacentral:rRNA from 1 species
UACGUAGGUCCCGAGCGUUAUCCGGAUUUAUUGGGCGUAAAGCGAGUGCAGGUGGUUUAUUAAGUCUGGUGUAAAAGGCAGUGGCUCAACCAUUGUAUGCAUUGGAAACUGGUAGACUUGAGUGCAGGAGAGGAGAGUGGAAUUCCAUGUGUAGCGGUGAAAUGCGUAGAUAUAUGGAGGAACACCGGUGGCGAAAGCGGCUCUCUGGCCUGUAACUGACACUGAGGCUCGAAAGCGUGGGGAGCAAACAGG